rnacentral:rRNA from 1 species
UACGGGGGGGGCAAGCGUUGUUCGGAAUUACUGGGCGUAAAGGGCUCGUAGGCGGCCAACUAAGUCGGAUGUGAAAUCCCCAGGCUCAACCUGGGAACUGCAUCCGAUACUGGAUGGCUUGAAUUCGGGAGAGGGAUGCAGAAUUCCAGGUGUAGCGGUGAAAUGCGUAGAUAUCUGGAGGAAUACCGGUGGCGAAGGCGGCAUCCUGGACCGACAUUGACGCUGAGGAACGAAAGCUAGGGGAGCAAACGGG